rnacentral:rRNA from 1 species
CCUACGGGAGGCAGCAGUAGGGAAUCUUCCACAAUGGGCGAAAGCCUGAUGGAGCAACGCCGCGUGGGUGAAGAAGGUCUUCGGAUCGUAAAACCCUGUUGUUAGAGAAGAAAGUGCGUGAGAGUAACUGUUCACGUUUCGACGGUAUCUAACCAGAAAGCCACGGCUAACUACGUGCCAGCAGCCGCGGUAAUACGUAGGGGGCAAGCGUUAUCCGGAUUUAUUGGGCGUAAAGGGAACGCAGGGGGUCUUUUAAGUCGGAUGUGAAAGCCUUCGGCUUAACCGGAGUAGUGCAUUGGAAACUGGGAGACGUGAGUGCAGAAGAGGAGAGUGGAACUCCAUGUGUAGCGGUGAAAUGCGUAGAUAUAUGGAAGAACACCAGUGGCGAAAGCGGCUCUCUGGUCUGUAACUGACGCUGAGGUUCGAAAGCGUGGGUAGCAAACAGGAUUAGAUACCCCUGUAGUC